AUGAGCUCUUCUCCAGGAUCACUGCUUGUGCUGUUAUUAAUGUUUGGAGGAAGCAAGGGAGAUUCAGUGACCCAGAUGGAAGGCCAGAUGACCCUCUCAGAGCGGGCUUCUCUGACUGUGAACUGCUCUUAUGAAACCACACAGUACCCUGCCCUUUUCUGGUGUGUCCAGUAUCCCGGAGAAGGUCCACAGCUCCUCCUGAAAGCCUCGAAAGCCAACGAGAAGGGAAGCAGCAAAGGUUUUGAAGCCACCUACCACAAAGAACCAAAUUCUUUCCACUUGAAGAAAUCCUCAGUGCAAGUGUCAGAUUCGGCUGUGUACUACUGUGCCCUGAGGGACACAGUGACAGGGACUGCAGAGGGAGCUAAGCGUAAACUCUGA